GGAAUAAUUCGUUUAAUUAAUUUUGGUUAACCAAAAAAACAAACCCCUAACUUUUCAUCUUCUCACCCUAGCCGACUCACUUCUUCUUCCUCACUGAUUCAGUUGGGACUACGAAGCAUAUCGUUAUGGAAGAAACCGCUCCACCCAAUCUCUUUCCCAUGGCGAUGAGUAUUGUUUUGUCUGGCAUACAACCUCAUCAAAAUCUGUCUGUUCUUGUAUAUCGAGGAAAAGAUAAAGGUAAUGUUAAGGAAAAAACUGUCUGGGUUACUAACGCUAUCACAAAAGGAUUUACAGGGUCGAAUCUUUGGAUUAGGGAAAGUUGCAAAAAGACUCCGUUCUUUAUCAGAUUCUUUGAUACUAUAUGAUCGUGAUCCUGAACUUGUUCGAGCCCUCCAAGAGAAAUAUGACCGUAUUGAAGCUCUUGAGAAGAUGAUGGAAAAAUAGAAUGAGAGGAACAAGCAGAGAGAUGAGGAGCUUGCGUCGUUCAUGGCAGAGAUGAGAUCAAAGUUCUCCGACAAUUCAAGUUCUUAGUUUUCACAAUAUUUAAGUUUCAUUUUCUAUUUCUUUUUGAUUUGUGUAUAUUGCAUUUUCUUUUUUGGAUGUUUGUGUAUAUUGUAUUUUGGAUUUCUAAAUUUAUGAAUUCAAGUUCUUAUUACCUAA